rnacentral:misc_RNA from 1 species
AUCGCGGAUCAGCAUGCCGCGGUGAAUACGUUCCCGGGCCUUGUACACACCGCCCGUCACACCACGAGAGUUUGUAACACCCGAAGCCGGUGGGGUAACCCUUUUGGGAGCUAGCCGUCGAAGGUGGGAUAGAUGAUUGGGGUGAAGUCGUAACAAGGUAGCCGUAUCGGAAGGUGCGGCUGGAUCACCUCCUUUCUAAGGAUAUAUUACGGAAAGCAACUUUAGUAGUUGCUACUCAUCAACGUUUGUGUUCAGUUUUGAAGGUUUACCCUUCUACAACUUGUUCUUUGAAAACUGGAUAAAACGAUAUCGAAAACAAACAAAACAUCUAUUAUUUUUAUAGAUUACAAGUCAAGCAAUUGACGUGUAUCUCUUAAAAUCUUAAACCGUUCGGUUUAAGUAGUAACUAACUUAUUGGUUAAGUUAUUAAGGGCGCACGGUGGAUGCCUUGGCACUAGGAGUCGAUGAAGGACGGGACUA